GCUUCCUAAGGCCCACUUGACUUCACAUUCCAGGAUGUCUGACUCUAGGUGAGUGAUCACACCAUCGAGAUUAUCUUGGUCAUGAAGAUCUUUUUUGUAUAGUUCUUCUGGGUAUUCUUGCCACCUCUUGAUAUCUUCUGCUUCUGUUAGGUCCAUACCAUUUCUGUCCUUUAUCGAGCCCAUUUUUGCAUGAGAUGUUCCCUUGGUAUCUCUAAUUUUCUUGAAGAGAUCUCUAGUCUUUCCCAUUCUGUUGUUUUCCUCUAUGUCUUUGCAUUGAUCACUGAGGAAGGCUUUCUUAUCGCUCCUUGCUAUUCUUUGGAACUCUGCAUUCAGAUGCUUAUAUCUUCCUUUUCUCCUUUGCUUUUCACUUCUCUUCUUUUCACAGCUAUUUGUAAGGCCUCCUCAGACAGCCAUUUUGCUUUUUUGCAUUUCUUUUUCUUGGGGAUUGUCUUGAUCCCUGUCUCCUGUACAAUGUCAUGAACCUCAUUCCAUAGUUCAUCAGGCACUCUGUUUAUCAGAUGUCGGCCCUUAAAUCUACUUCUCACUUCCACUGUAUAAUCAUAAGUGAUUUGAUUUAGGUCAUACCUGAGUGGUCUAGUGGUUUCUCCCACUUUCUUCAAUUUAAGUCUGAAUUUUGCAGUAAGGAGUUCAUGAUCUGAGCCACAGUCAGCUCCCAGUCUUGUUUUUGCUGACUGUGCAGAGCUUCUCCAUCUUUGGCUGCAAAGAAUAUAAUCAAUCUGAUUUUGGUGUUGACCAUCUGGUGAUGUCCAUGUGUAGAGUCUUCUCUUGUGUUGUUGGAAAAGGGUGUUUGCUAUGACCAGUGCAUUCUCUUGGCAAAACUCUAUUAGCCUUUUCCCUGUUUCAUUCCACAUUCCAAGGCCAAGUUUGCCUGUUACUCCAGGUGUUUCUUGACUUCCUACUUUUGCAUUCCAUUCUCCUAUAAUGAAAAGGACAUCUUUUUUGGGUGGUAGUUCUAAAAGGUCUUGUAGGUCUUCAUAGAACCGUUCAACUUCAGCGUCUUCAGCAUUACUGGUUGGGGCAUGAACUUGAAUUACCAUGAUAUUGAAUGGUUUGCCUUGGAGACAAACAGAGAUCAUUCUGUCGUUUUUGAGAUUGCAUCUAAUACUGCAUUUCGGACUCUUUUGUUGACCAUGAUGGCUACUCCAUUUCUAGUAAGGGAUUCCUGCCCACAGUAGUAGAUAUAAUGGUCAUCUGAGUUAAAUUCAUCCAUUCCAAUCCAUUUUAGUUCGCUGACUCCUAGACUGUCCAUCUCCUGUUUGACCACUUCCAACUUGCCUUGAGUCAUGGACCUAACAUUCCAGGUUUCUAUGCAAUAUUGUUCUUUACAGCAUCGGAACUUGCUUCUU
ensembl:lncRNA